AAAAACCAAGUGUGAUCAAAUCUUAAACCAUUUUAUUGCAAUCCAACUAAAAAAAACUAUUUUCAUGAUAUCAUAGCUGGCAGUAAGGAUCCUUUGAGCCUGAGUUUGGCGGGUUAAUUAGUCAUAUAAUUGUGAGAAUGUGAAGAAAUGUCACACAUCUAUUUCCUUCACUGUCAAUUAAUUUUAGGGUUAAACCUUGAC
rnacentral:lncRNA from 1 species